rnacentral:rRNA from 1 species
GACGAACGCUGGCGGCGUGCUUAACACAUGCAAGUCGAACGGAAAGGCCCUGCUUUUGUGGGGUGCUCGAGUGGCGAACGGGUGAGUAACACGUGAGUAACCUGCCCUUGACUUUGGGAUAACUUCAGGAAACUGGGGCUAAUACCGGAUAGGAGCUCCUGCUGCAUGGUGGGGGUUGGAAAGUUUCGGCGGUUGGGGAUGGACUCGCGGUUUAUCAGCUUGUUGGUGGGGUAGUGGCUUACCAAGGCUUUGACGGGUAGCCGGCCUGAGAGGGUGACCGGCCACAUUGGGACUGAGAUACGGCCCAGACUCCUACGGGAGGCAGCAGUGGGGAAUAUUGCACAAUGGGCGGAAGCCGGAUGCAGCAACGCCGCGUGCGGGAUGACGGCCUUCGGGUUGUAAACCGCUUUCGCCUGUGACGAAGCGUGAGUGACGGUAAUGGGGAAAGAAGCACCGGCUAACUACGU